rnacentral:rRNA from 1 species
UGGGGAAUCUUGCACAAUGGGGGAAACCCUGAUGCAGCGACGCCGCGUGAGCGAUGAAGGUUUUCGAAUCGUAAAGCUCUGUCCUAUGGGAAGAUAAUGACGGUACCAUGGGAGGAAGCCCCGGCUAACUACGUGCCAGCAGCCGCGGUAAUACGUAGGGGGCGAGCGUUGUCCGGAAUUACUGGGCGUAAAGCGCGCGCAGGCGGCUUCCUAAGUCCAUCUUAAAAGUGCGGGGCUUAACCCCGUGAUGGGAUGGAAACUGGGAAGCUGGAGUAUCGGAGAGGAAAGUGGAAUUCCUAGUGUAGCGGUGAAAUGCGUAGAUAUUAGGAAGAACACCGGUGGCGAAGGCGACUUUCUGGACGAAAACUGACGCUGAGGCGCGAAAGCGUGGGGAGCAAACAGG